AACGAACGCUGGCGGCAGGCCUAAUACAUGCAAGUCGAACGGAUGUAGCAAUACAUUAGUGGCGCACGGGUGCCUAACGCGUGGGAACAUGCCCUUGAGUAAGGAAUAAUGUCUGGAAACGGACACUAAUACCUUAUAAUGACUUCGGUCCAAAGAUUCAUCGCUCAAGGAUUGGCCCGCGUCUGAUUAGCUAGUUGGUGAGGUAACGGCUCACCAAGGCGACGAUCAGUAGCUGGUCUGAGAGGAUGAUCAGCCACACUGGGACUGAGACACGGCCCAGACUCCUACGGGAGGCAGCAGUAAGGAAUAUUGGACAAUGGGGGAAACCCUGACCCAGCCAUGCCGCGUGAGUGAAGAAGGCCUUAGGGUUGUAAAGCUCUUUCAAUAGUGAAGAUAAUGACGGUAGCUAUAGAAGAAGCCCCGGCUAAAUUCGUGCCAGCCGCCGCCGUAA
rnacentral:rRNA from 1 species